rnacentral:rRNA from 1 species
GUAUCAUGGCUCAGGAUGAACGCUAGCUACAGGCUUAACACAUGCAAGUCGAGGGGCAGCAUGGUCUUAGUUUGCUAAGGCCGAUGGCGACCGGCGCACGGGUGAGUAACACGUAUCCAACCUGUCGUCUACUCUUGGACAGCCUUCUGAAAGGAAGAUUAAUACAAGAUGGCAUCAUGAGUCCGCAUGUUCACAUGAUUAAAGGUAUUCCGGUAGACGAUGGGG